rnacentral:rRNA from 1 species
UACGAAGGGGGCUAGCGUUGCUCGGAAUCACUGGGCGUAAAGCGCACGUAGGCGGACUCUUAAGUCAGGGGUGAAAUCCUGGAGCUCAACUCCAGAACUGCCUUCGAUACUGGCGAUCUAGAGUCCGGAAGAGGUGAGUGGAACUCCUAGUGUAGAGGUGGAAUUCGUAGAUAUUAGGAAGAACACCAGUGGCGAAGGCGGCUCACUGGUCCGGUACUGACGCUGAGGUGCGAAAGCGUGGGGAGCAAACAGG